AUUGUAAACCUCAGGUGAUUGGAAUCCUGGGUAAUUUUGUUUGAUGUUUUACAAAGGAAAACAGAAAGUUUGAAACAUAAAGUAAAGCUUUUUUUUUAUAUCUAUUUUUUAUGCAGCAAGCAGGGUUUCUGUUACAGUAUAAAGCAGGAUAUGAGACACGUGCUGUUCAGUUGAUCGGGUUUCUGUUGCUAAGCAACUAGCUGUAAUGUUCCAACACCGCAUCGUUUCACAUUGUACACUUUUCACACCACAGUGCAAGGUAUAACAUUGCAAAAGCACUGCUAACCCUGCUCCAAGAAGAGUUUCAUGAUGCUGUGUACAAACAGGGCUAACCCAGCAUGUAAAUUACAAGUGUGAAACGUUCCUCUAACCCGGGUUAAAAGGCGGGGCUUAGAAUGACUGUACAAGACUUAUUAGUCGAAUUUACUGGUUACUGGAGUUUAAUGAUUUUAAUUGUUACUGUUGUUGUUUAUUAUAAGUAAUAGUGUAAAACAGGCGGGUGUUAAACUCAAGUUCAAGGUUGUUGUUUUUUUUAAUGAAAAAUUGCAUAUAACAAAUUUCUUAUUCAAAAGUGAAUAGAAAAAAGAAACCAAUCCACAGACACUUAAUUAACUUCUGGCAUUGAUGUGACAAGACUACUUUUGUAGCUAUACCGCCAUCUCGUGGUGAAUUGUGGUGAAUUGUACAGCAAAUGACCAGCAGAGGGCGCGCGCGUCCACGUCCCACGUCCCACACACACACACACACACACACACACACACACACACACACACACACACACACACACACAUACACACACACAAACACACAGAGUCCUGGAUGACGGGGAGGAACGUCAUGGAGGGAAAAAGGAAUGACGCAGCAGUUUGAGGCCAUAGGAGGGGCUGCUGUCCAGGGAAAAAGAAAUCAACACAACACUAAAGUGCUCACACACACACACACACACACACACACACACACACACAGUACCCGAGAGUACUCCUGGAUUCAGGCUCAUGAAUAGGACCAUUAGCAGGCGGCACUGCACUCAGACUUGCUUGCUCUGUAUUGAGCGUGUGGUCAGAGAAGAAGCAGCCAUGAGACGAUCAUGAUCGGGACGACUGCUCUGCAGAGCUGACUGAUCCUGUCACCUGCUGUAUUUCAUUCCUCUUUUUAACCAUCUCUCUCUCAUUCCCCUUUUUUCUCCUUCACCACUUGGCUGCCCUCCAUCACGAGGGCCUAUCUGUUACUUUGUCAGCUCGAGUGACGUGCAUUAGAUGAGGGCUGGAGGAACUUACCCAGAAGGCUUUGCUACAAUCUAACACACUGUCCUUUGAAAAAAACAGUGAAAGAAUGCAGUAAAAAAAAAACAACUUUGAUGAUCGGCUGGCUCAAAUCAAGUCUUGUUCCAUAUGUAGUAAAUGCUAAAAAUGCAAGACUAUAAAAGAGCUCGGCUGCAUUCCAGUACUACUCGUAACAUUUUUCCUUGUCCGGCCGCCCUCCUUUUUUGUCCCCCUUUGGCAGUCGUCCAUCUUGAAGGAUGUUGUUACAAAUGUUUUAGAUGAUGAUGAGAUGAGCCAUACUCAGGAGCAGAGCUUAUUCACAAGGCAUUACUUAAGCUUAACCUUUUAUAUAAAAAAGUCACCUUUAUUAGGGCUUCAGUAACACAAUUAACCCAGAAAGCACUGCUGCUUAUUGCAAUACGUUUUAAAGUUCUAACAAAAUCGCUUUAAUUGUUUUCACUGUACAUACUGUACUUGGAUGCUGUUGGCAUGGUAACAAACAGCUACAUGGUCCAGGGCCUCUGAGCUCGGUGUCUGUCUGCAACCUGUCCUGCUCUGUUCACUUAAUGCUUGCAUGGGUUUCCUCGGGGUUCUCCGGUUUUCUCUGACCUUAUAACAUCAUCAGUAGGUGGACUGGCUGUGUUAAAUUCAGCUGUGUAUGUACAGUACAUCCCAUGCACAGACUAUUUCGUCCUUAAUAAUGGUGUUCCUGAGAUAAGCUCCAGAUCCUUAUCCAUAACCCUUUGUGUAUGCAGGUCUGUUAUAAAAACGCAUUAGCUGAGAGCCAGCACUGCUCCUUACAUGGCACUGCAAGCGCACAGUGAUGUUAUGUACCCUCGUUGCACUGCAGCAUGGGCACUUUAACAAGAGAAUUGGAGCAUAGCCCAUGGUGAUCUGACACUGAAUAGGCUGCACUCCUGUCUGUCCAGGAUUGCUGAGUUGGUGUUAACAUGGUAAUGCUGCCGGUGUUUAGACAGGAAGUGAGCGAUGAUGUGGCAGCACACCACCUACGCACCACUCCGUGACUCAGAGAGAAAAUAACACUGCGGUUUGUUCACUCUCCUGUAGUGUGCACUACUAGUUUUGUAGCUACAGACUGCCUCGAUAGAUAAUCUCUUCAUCUCAGCGCUGAUCAGUGUAAACGUUUGGAUAAAAAGGGAUGCUAAAUGUCUUCCUAUGCUCAGGUGCUCAUGUUGAUGGCAGGUGUGUGAGUGUGAGUGUGAGUGUGUGUGUGUGUGUGUGUGUGUGUGUGUGUGUGUGUGUGUGUGUGUGUGUGUGUGUGUGUGUGUGUGUGUGUGUGAGUGUGUGUGUGUGUGUGCACAGGUGGGAAUGGAAAUAAGAUAUGAGGGCACUGAGACAACACUGACCAUGACGGCACCCUGCUGUCGCACAAUUCCAAGUGUAGCCGGUCUGCCCUUCUGUGUCGUAUCUGGCUACCAUUCUGCGUUGUGUUCUUGUGUGAUGUAUAAUAAGAGGCCAAAGUCGUCUGCUGAUUCAAUGUGUGCUUUAUCCAAAAUUGCUGCAUAAAUCAGAAACAUGCAGCUAUAACAUGCAGUUGCACACUCGUCGCCUGCCCGCUCUGCUCAGGUCUCAUUCAGACUGAAGCAAGAGCAUAAUACAAGAGACAUUGUAUUUCACAAUAACAAUAUAUAGAUAUAAAAUAUAACAAUAACAAAGACCAUAUGUAAAUUAUCUAGGAGAACUUAAUUACUUAUUACAUAUGUAUCAGAAAUAACAAAAUACUCAUUAACAAUAUGAAAUACAUUAAGUCAAUUCAAAUCAUCAACAUCUUAAGAGAUAUAAUUAUAUACAUACACAUAUAACCAAUACAAGGUUAUGCACCAAGAAAAAAAAGAGAUGGUUCCAUACCUGCAUAAAUCAGAAACAUGCAGUUAUAACCGUUGCACACUCGUCACCUGCCCCUGCUAAACAUUCCGACACAAACAUGAAAUUAGCAGCCACGCUUAACAGGCCGACUUCUAUGCUAACGGACAACGUGACACUGCAUUCCUUUAAUUACAUACAACUUCUGCCACAGGUAAAACACAUUCGGACACAAAAACAGCGUUUUAUUGUACAUAUAUAUAUCUCUUCUGAUAUUUAACAAACAUGGAAUCAUUAUUUAACAAUAACAUUUUAUUAUUUCCACAUUAUAAACAGGGCACUCAAAACACCUACCUCGCUCUGCUCAGGUCUCAUUCAGACUGAAGCAAGAGCGCGCAGCGCUGACGUCACAGACGAAACACCCACAAAACUUAAAGAAAUAAAAUAACUUUACUGCUCCCUUUUCCCUUUUUGUUUUUCGAAUAGCUCAUUAUUGAUCCCAACCAAAAACAAGGAUUUUGCGUGAAUUAAAAAUAAAUGAAUUAAUGCACAUCUCUUAACACCGGUUACACAAGCACUGUGCUUUUUUUCAAAAUAGAAUUGUAUAUAGUUGUUUUUACCAGCUGUAAAUGAGCCAAAUGAAUAAACUGUAUCUCAGAAUGAAAACUCUCUACUAUCAGUGUUACUGAAUUACACAUGAUAUUUAGAAGUGUUUUGCUUUCAGCAUUAACAUAGACAUUUGGAUUUAAAACAUUGAAAUAAUGAGUGACAGGUGUCUCCUCCUUACAUACAAUACUGGGUUGUCGAAGCCCAAAAAUAUCACGCAUCGCUAUGUGUGAUGCCGGUGCAUCAUCAGCCUGUCUAGUGUAAUCAUUCCCUAAACAGCACAUGACUUACAGUGUGAGCCAGUUACUUAACGUAUAAGCUCUUGUUAAAGCACAGAGUUGCUCUGUGUAUUCUCCAGCAUCUUAUCUACGCUGAAGAUAAAUCAAUUAUAAAUUACUAUCAUGCAUCAUUUACUGGCUUCCCACAUAAUGAAUCAGUCCUGAAUUUAUGGCAUGUAAAUAUCAUCCAGGGAGGCACGGUGGCUUGGUGGUUAGCAGGUUUGCCUCACACUCCCAGGGUUGGGGGUUCGAUUCCUGCCUCUUGGAGUUAGAAUGUUCUCCCCAUGCUUCAAGGUUUCCUCCCCCCAGUCCAAAGACGUGUUUUAGACUAAUUUCUCAUCUCUAAAUCAUCCGUAAUGUGUGUGUUUGUUUGUGCCCUGCCUUGUGCCCUGAUUCUCUUGGGAUAGACUCCAGGUUCCCUGUGACCCAGUAGAAUAAGCAAGGUAGAGAAUGGAUGGAGAAUAGAUUAUCAUUCUUUGAGCAAGGACACACAAAACACACAACUGCUCAGCGGUAUAAAUGAGAUAAACAUAUGUUGCCAUGGAUAAGGGUCUCUGGCAAAUUCUGUAAAUGUGUAAUACUGACACAAUGUUACCCUGUCCUGAUUGGCUGCCUCCUCCAGCCAUGGACUUCCAGCCUGAAAGCUCUGAUAUAAUGCAGAGUCAUCUUUAAAUGUCAGCGCUAAGUGAAAGCAAUAGCCAAAUCUAGUAGCAGACUAAAGACUAAAGAGAUGGAAGUCGGUCACUUUUAUUAUCAAAGUUAUUACUCCAAUCACAGAUUUAUAAUUAUCUGAUCUCUAAUUCUUUGCUGUCACUAGGUUAAAGCUUAGAACACCGGUGAGCCAGUGACAGUGUCGGGUGUGACCAAGGCUCAUUCAUGCUUGUGGGAGUGAAGGCUAGCUCAUCUAGAUCCUGCCAAAAAGCUAGUGUAGUACAAAUUGCUAAUAAGAAAAGAUAAGAUAAGAUGUACCUUUAUUCGUCCCACAAUGGGGAAAUUUUUCUGUUACAGCAGCAAAGACAAAGAAAUGCGAAUAUAUAAAAAAUGAAAGACAUAAUAUGUAAUAUACAGAACACAAUGUAUAAAUACAAAGAAGAAUAAAGAGAGCACGAGUAAGUCGUUACGCAACAGACAUAUUGCACACAGGUAAUAUUGCACAUUUUUCAAAAUAUCGCACUUAAACAGUAAUCCAGUGUGUACUGUAAUUAUGGUGACUGGUUCACUGGGAGCAGCUUUGGUUGUAAAGUCUACUAGCAGCAGGGAGAAAAUAAAGUUCAUGUUGGCUAUGAUAGAAAGUGCAGAAACACACAGUGCAUCACAGCUUGCUACUGUAUGUGAGGGCUGUGUAGCCUCAGUUACAGUUACUAAACAAUGCAGCAGGCCAAGUAUCCCAUCCCUUCAUGGCAACAGUAUUCCCUAAAGACAGUCUUUCAGCAGUAUAAUGCGCCCUGCCACACUGCAAACACUGAUCAGGAAAUGGUUUGACUUGGUAUCUGUGGCACGUGCUGGACAAACAAGUUUGAUCCGUAUUGGAUAUGCUGUUAAAGUAUUGGUGUCUGAUACCCCAGCACACCUUCAGAGGUCUUGUGGAGUCCGUGCCUCAACAAGACAGAGCUGAGAUGUUUUACUGGUACAAAAUGAGGCAGGUGGUUUUAAUCUUAUGGCUGAUCCGUGUGUGUGUUCCGUUUCCAGGCUGUUUAAUUUAUCUAGUGAAACUUUUGGGACAUUUUGUUAUGUCAUAGUGUAUGUGUUUGGUACAUACGCUCAUAUGCACAUGGCUUUAUUUUACAUUCAGUGAUUCGUGUGGACGUGAACCACUGACAAUAGCCAGUCUAAAAAAAAACGCCUCUCUUCCACUCUCUGUCAUCAAUAUUUUUCAGUCUGUCCUCACACAGUGCACAUGUUAUUCCUGUCUUGGUUUGUAGCAUCCGUCUGCUACGCUUCUCUCUCUUUUUUAAUUUCCCAUCUCGUAAUCCCUCCUCCUGCAAUCCAUCAUCUUCCCUUGUGUUUCCAUGCCCUCAUUCAUUCUUCACUCAUGUUUUUCCUGCACUCUUCCUUCUGUGUCCUCAUUCUCUCCCCAUCUUUCUCCCUGUCUCUCUGUUUCACCCCAUCUCUCUCUGAUGUCACUGCAUUGAUCAGGCAGCAGCUUAGCUGCAUUAAAAUAUGCAUUAAGAAGGGCAGCAGAAUGCGAGAUGGAUCAGUCUAUCCUGCAUGUGUGAGGCAGACACCAUUCACACGCUGAUAUGUGUGUGUGUGUGUGUGUGUGUGUGUGUGUCUGUAUGCAAAUGUAUAGACACUGUUUUUUCCCUAAUCUCCUACCCACCGCCACCGCUGCUAACCUGAGACUGUCGUGUUUUUUUUUCAGGCAUCCCUGACAUCAGCAUCAUAGACGCCUUAAAUCUACCUGUUUUUCUUUUUUGGUCACUCUGCCUUUCACCUUUUCUGUUUCCAGACUUCAUAUCCGAUACAUAACCUCUCCUAUACUACCAUCCACCCUGUUCUCCUUUCACAGCAUGUAUCUGUACUGCUCUGCCAUUUUCCUCUCUCUCUCUCUCUCUCUCUCUCUCUCUCUCUCUCUCUCUCUCUCUCUCACACACACACACACACACACCGUCCAUCAUCUUCCCUGGUUCCCUGAAUUUUCAGCAGCAUUUCUGACGUUCACAUUGGUACCAUUCUGCAUUCCUCUUUCUUUCACUCUCUCUCUCUCUAUUCCUCUCCAUGGUCUCUCGCUUUCGACCGUUUUUCAGCCAUGUUGAUUAAAGUUGCAGUGGCUAUUCCAGAGCAAAGUCAGUGCCACCUCUGAAGCUCAGCGGAAAGAGGGUUCUGAAAAGAGAGAGAGGGAGACAGAGAGAAAGAGAGAGAGAGAGAGCACGCACGAGAGAGAUAGAGAGAGAGAGAGAGAGAGAGAGAGAGAGAGAGAGAGAGAGAGAGAGAUGACGCACAGACUGAGAGCAGUGCUAGACAGCAAGCAACGAGUCAAACGAGUCAAUUUUUAUGUUCGUUGCAAGAUGGCGUAUUUUUCUGUUUCGUCUCUUUCACCUCAGUCUCUGAUGAACAGAAAUGAAUAGUACAUUCUACGUAUUUCCUUUUCUGCAGAAAGCACUGUGAUGCGAUUUUUGCUCCGCGUAUGACUGGACGGAAGCAGCUGGGUUUCAUUUUGCUGAGGGUUUCCUUCCAUAUUGUGAGACGCAAGCAAUGUUCAUCAGCCAUUUUGUUUUCACCAAGGCUGAAUCAUUCUCUGGUUCGUGUUUUAAAAUGGCCGCGCUGCAGUGAGGUAAUGGGCAGCAGUGCACAUCAGAUGAAAAAACAACAACAACAACAAAAGAACGAGAAACACGAGCAUCAUAAAAGAAUUCAAAUAGGAACCCAAUCAGAUGAUGUACAGAUGCGGAGAGCCAGGAAGAGAGACAAUACUAAUGUGACUAAGGAAGGGAACCAAAAGAGAAAGAAAAGUGAAGUGGAGCGUACCUAAGACAGAGCGACAGAAAAGAAGAAGAUGAAGGAGGAGAGACAGAGUGAAUUGGCUGUUAAUAACAAGAUAAUAACCAUUUAAUAAGAAUGUUAUUAAAGCACAAAUGUCGCUCUUCUAUGUUAACAUAAAAGAAUCAAUGUUAAAAUUGAAAUACUUAUAAAACAUUAUACAGGAAAUUAGUGUAAGAGCGUUUCAAUAAUUUAACACUGAUAGCACUGAGCACAUACAAACUGGACACACACACAGAUACACAAACACACACACACACACACACACACACACACACAGUGGUAUUAGUGGUAUGAACUGCAAGUUUAUUAACCUUUGGAUGUACAGGAGAUUGAAAAGCAACAACAAUAUCUCCGAAAUAUUACGACUGACAUGAUAUGGUGAGGAAAUGAAGAAUGUUUCCCUUGAGUAGAUUUGGCAGGAAGCAUUAUUGUGCAGCAUUUGUAUUGAUGAUGAAAGACUCUCUUCUCCUCUCCUCUCCUCUCCUCUCCUCUCUUUUCCUUUCUUUGUCACUUUGCAGAACAGUUCUGAUUAGCUGUAGCACAGUAAAGGCUAUCAAGUCUGUAAACAUCAGCGGGUCUCGGUUUCCACUGUUGAAGCUCUGCUGCCAUCUUGUGUUUUUUCAAACAUUGAGCCUCAUCGAUAGUCGAUAGUUAGUGUGGGUUUGUGUUGUGUUUGUGUUAUAACAGGACAUCAGGCCACAUCUAUCAAAAUCUGUGAUAUUGUGUCUGUGUAAGCAAAGAACAAACAAAACAUCUUUCGAUUUCGAUAAACCUUUCGGAAACACAGACUUUCUUCAUAUUCAGGUGUUUAUAUUGAUGAAAGGCAUCACAGUAAGAAUAGGCCUGAUGUAUUCAUGAUGAGCUGUAUGAUGAGAGUACUGUACACACCUCACUAUAGGAUGAGACAGACCAGACUGGUCACUUAUCUGUCUUUGAAAUGUAUAAGCAGCAAGAAAUUAAAGCAUGGGCAAAAUUUGGAAAGGAAUAUCACAGGAUCCUUUUCCUAAUUGUACAGCAUUAAAAGACAAAGACAAGGCAAAUUAAACUGACUUAUAAGCCAGCUUUCAUCAUUUAAAAAAAAAUCAUACUGUUGGUCUGUAAAAAACAAUUUCCCUCAUAGGUGCAGCAUGUGCUAACUCUUCAAAAAGAUGUAGCUUAGUCUUAAAAUGGUUUAAGGUUAGCUUUUAUAUUUAAUUUAUCUUUAAUGCAGGGGAUAGAAAGUUUGCCUCAAACCUCCAGGGAUUAGGGUUCGAUUCCCAACUCCCCAUGACUUUGGGGUUUCUUCUCCCAUCCAAAGAAAGGCAUUGUAAGCUGUCUGCUAUUGUCCCUAGUGUAUGUGUGUGCAAUAAACUGGCAUCAUGUCCAGGGUGCACCCUGACUUGUGCACCCUGACCAAGUUCUCCUGGAAUAAGCUCCAGGUUUCCCACGACCCGUUCAGAUAGUAUGGAUGGUAUCAAUAAUGGAAUUAGUAUGAAAUAGCAGGUUUGUGAAAUGUAUUAAAAAUGGGUGUUGUGUGUGUGUGUAAUUGAAAUAAACCAGCAUAAUCUGCAAUAUUAAUGUAUCCAUAUGUUUGCAGUAACUCCUUUACAAGUGAUUUGAUUUGAAGCUUAGUCUUCUUAUGCAUAAAUUUACACACACUCAGAAGUAGUGUUUUCAGAAUUUACACCCUUUUAUGAACACCAAAUGUCACCAACUUGAUAAAUGAGGCCCAGUGUUUUGUUCCAUGUGUUCACUAUUAAAUGGAAGCCUGAUGGGAUUGGGAAAACGCAGUUGCUCAUUAGAAGUGUGAAUAAAUAAUUAGAUAUCAUCAUCAUCUGUGCCAUUUUAUUAUUUAAACAAGCAUUUUGUCCUGGUUUGUUCCUUGUCAUUUUUUUAUUUUUAUUUUUGCCCCUUCAGAAGGUUGAGACAUAGUUACAGAUCACCUGCAAGUACACAUCCAAAUCAAGAAUCAGAGACAAGAACACAAAAUCUAUAUUCACAGCUCACUUGGCAGUAUGCUGAUCCUUGAAGACAGGCAGUGAUUCAUGCACCUUAAUGCAAGACAUUUUGUUUAUUAUAUCUUUUUAAGUAUUGUAAUUCCUAAUGAAAUAAUUUGGAAUACAUUUGGAAUACAUUUCCAGGUUCAAAUAUUUAUAGACCCCACUGUUUGUAGGUCAUUUUUAUGCAUGUGUAUGUGCGAACAGAAAGUGGGGCUUGUUUCUAUAAAUAAAAGUCUCAAUUUUUAAAGAUGUGAAAUUCAUAACCCGUUGUAUUUCCAUUUGUGCGUUUUACCCUGCAAGUAGUAAUGUGGUUUAUUUGGUUUAUCUUGUUACCUUGUUGUAUUUCUUACAUGAACACCAUCAGUGUGCUCUUUAUUUGGAAAGGAUCAGGACUGUGUCUUAAUCCCUGCCAAGGCUAUGUUCUGAGAACUCUGUAGGAUCACUCUCUUGCUGUGAUAUUAAUAAAGAACAAGGACUUCUCAAUGUCACUACAAGCUUCAUCUACCAGUUUAACUGGUUAUUUUCAGUUUUGUAAAUGCUGUUAUUUGAGAAUCACAAAAGGUGUGAUAAUGUUAAAUAAUAAGUAAAAUAAUAAAAUGUGUACUAAUGUGAAGUGGUGACAGUAUUGUGAAUACAGAACCUACUGUACAACAGGAUUAUUAAUUUGGUCAUUUUAAAUCAAUGUUAAUUGACAAUUUGUGCCUGCCCUUCUGCAAAGUUUUAAUUUGUUUAUAGUAUCUAUUUACCUCGUAUUGGUGCUACUUAAGCAGCCUUAAACAGCAAUCUACACACAUGCAUUUGGAUUUUCAUUUGAUAUUUUGGUGCUUGUAAUGGUAGUGUUGUUCUCCAUUACUACCUGGUGCUCCAUGAUCAAUGGUACUCCAUUGGUGUCACCUUUCUCUGUUAGAUCUGUGCUGGGGACAGCUAUAGAGGGCAGAUCAGCAAUUAUCCAUCUGUAGUAACCUUCCAAAUUCGGUACCUGAUUUUUUAUUUUUUUUACUGGCUAAGAUUAGUUCCUUAUGCUCUGAGACCCAUGUAGCACUGGAGAAAUAGAAAGAACAGUCCUGGUGAAGUCUUACAAGCAAAGUCACAUGUCAGUAUAUUUUAGUCAGGUUCAGGUUUGAAAUUACCUUCCUAGCUGCUCAUCUAGUUCAUCUGCCCAGGUGAUGAAGUAUGUUUCUAACUUUGAAACCUCAUUUAACUAACAGCAGUCACAACACAACCAGAGGUCUCCAUCUGGCUUGGUCAUCAUCACUAUGGGACUUGACUAAUUGGUGCUAAUGAUGUUGUUGUGUCUUUUUCCAGUUUGCUGUCUUGUAAAUGCUGGAUAUGUAGUCUGUGUGGCAUCCUGUCAAACCUGGGAAAACAAACAGUACUGGGAGAAUAUGGCAGUGAGUCCAAUUAUAGGCAGGCCAUGUUGAAGCUGCAGACUUCAUGUGCAGUUGACAUAGACAGACUGGGGUCUGAGUUAGAUUGGUUGGUUGUGCUAAAUUAACUGCAUGCAACUAUGUAACUAUAGUUACUGCAUUUGUUGCUCCUGUUCCUGUCUUCUGCUGAAGUCUGCCAGCAAGGGGUGUUCCCUUGGAGUCUGGAGUGUGAUGCCAGUGCUUCUCCAUGGUGUCAGGAGCAUCAGCUUCAUCAGCUCAACUAUUUUCAGUUUUUGGUACAUGUUAUUGCUAAUGACAGGGAAACACAAUGUUCUCUAUGAUUACACUUUAAACUCCUUUAUUCAUAACUUCAUGUAUAAACUCGAAUUUGUCAAGGUAGCCUCAGCCCUCUUGAUGGCAUCCACAAUUUCCAUUGUGCUCUCUAUGUUUUGACUCGAAACUAUUUUGUAAGUCUCAUAAGUGAGAGCAUGGGUGAAAAGAUCCAUGGAUAACUUUGCAGCAAUGUAUUCUUUCAAAUCCUUUUACCAAAGCCUGUUGGGUCAUCCUAGUAGAGUCUGAGAUUAGGGUUGAUUUUAGUUUACUUUAGUAUGCUGUACAUGACAUUUAAUCUUAAUACAAUAUUUUACACGUUGAGAAGCAAGGUCCUAGCAAAAAGUUGCAAAUCUAAGAUUUAAUCUAACAUUACAUUCAUUAACAACACAGAACCUGUACUAUUAUUACUGGCUGUUAACAUUGUAUCAGUCUUACGUUGUUUUCUCUUUCAUCCA